AGUGAACGCUGGCGGUAGGCCUAACACAUGCAAGUCGAACGGCAGCACAGUAAGAGCUUGCUCUUACGGGUGGCGAGUGGCGGACGGGUGAGGAAUACAUCGGAAUCUACUUUUUCGUGGGGGAUAACGUAGGGAAACUUACGCUAAUACCGCAUACGACCUACGGGUGAAAGCAGGGGAUCUUCGGACCUUGCGCGAUUGAAUGAGCCGAUGUCGGAUUAGCUAGUUGGCGGGAUAAAGGCCCACCAAGGCGACGAUCCGUAGCUGGUCUGAGAGGAUGAUCAGCCACACUGGAGCUGAGACACGGUCCAGACUCCUACGGGAGGCAGCAGUGGGGAAUAUUGGACAAUGGGCGCAAGCCUGAUCCAGCCAUACCGCGUGGGUGAAGAAGGCCUUCGGGUUGUAAAGCCCUUUUGUUGGGAAAGAAAAGCAGCAGGUUAAUACCCCGCUGUUCUGACGGUACCCAAAGAAUAAGCACCGGCUAACUUCGUG
rnacentral:rRNA from 1 species